rnacentral:lncRNA from 1 species
AGGACAGAAUAAUGGGCUCCCAGAUUCACAAGCCCCACCAAGAGGAUCACCCCAGGAACCCUUGGAGGCUGAGGAGUUCACUGAGGCUACUGCAUCUUGAGACUCAGGAUGAAGACCCAGCUUGGGGCUGUCAAAGAGGUCUGAAGAGGCAGAACACCCCAGAGGAGUCUGGGGCCACCACCCAGUGUCACUGUGGGAAAACGGCAGCAGGAAAUGUCCUCUCGCCUGCGUGCUCCACCUCAGUCCACACCUUCCCUCCUUCUGGAAGCCUUGCCUGACCACUGACCUGCCCCUUCUAUGGGAAUCACUACUGACCUUGCAGCUUAUUAUAGACUUAUAUGUAUGCAGAAAUAUAAUUUUAAUUACUUUUGUAUUGCUCGAGAGUGAUACCGAAUCAUGAUAGAAAAUUUAAAUAAACAAAAUAGCCAAAUUAAUACCAGUAAUCACCCCAGUCAAAUAUACCCAGCUCAUAUUUUGAUGUAAAAUCUUCCAGUACAUUUUCUAUGUACAUAUAUAUAUUUUUAGGAAGGAGAUUAUAUUUUACAUGCUGUUUUCUAAAACGUUCUUUUAAAACUGUAUCAUAAACAUCUUUCCUUAUCAUUAAAUAGUCUUCUACAACAAACUUUGCUAAUGAAUUUUUUUUAUCAUGG